AGUGGGGGAUAACGUACCGAAAGGUACGCUAAUACCGCAUAUGCCCUGAGGGGGAAAGGGGGGGAUCGUAAGACCUCUCGCUUUCGGAGUGGCCGAUAUCGGAUUAGCUAGUAGGUGAGGUAAAGGCUCACCUAGGCGACGAUCCGUAGCUGGUCUGAGAGGACGACCAGCCACACUGGGACUGAGACACGGCCCAGACUCCUACGGGAGGCAGCAGUGGGGAAUUUUGGACAAUGGGCGCAAGCCUGAUCCAGCCAUGCCGCGUGAGUGAAGAAGGCCUUCGGGUUGUAAAGCUCUUUCAGCUGGAAAGAAAUCAUAUCUACUAAUACUAGGUGUGGAUGACGGUACCAGUAGAAGAAGCACCGGCUAACUACGUGCCAGCAGCCGCGGUAAUACGUAGGGUGCGAGCGUUAAUCGGAAUUACUGGGCGUAAAGCGUGCGCAGGCGGCUUUUUAAGCCAGAUGUGAAAUCCCCGGGCUUAACCUGGGAACUGCAUUUGGAACUGGAAGGCUAGAGUGUAGCAGAGGGGGGUAGAAUUCCA
rnacentral:rRNA from 1 species